UACGUAGGGUGCGAGCGUUGUCCGGAAUUAUUGGGCGUAAAGGGCUCGUAGGCGGUCUGUUACGUCGGGCGUGAAAACUCGGGGCUCAACCCCGAGCCUGCUUCCGAUACGGGCAGACUAGAGGUAUGCAGGGGAGAAUGGAAUUCCUGGUGUAGCGGUGAAAUGCGCAGAUAUCAGGAGGAACACCGGUGGCGAAGGCGGGUCUCUGGGCAGUAACUGACGCUGGGGAGCGAAAGCGUGGGGAGCGAACAGG
rnacentral:rRNA from 1 species